CAAAGACAUGGCAGGCAGGAAAUUCCAGGACCCAUUAGAAAUCAUGUGGCAAAUGCUGAAGGAACGUCUGCAGAGAAGACAAGAGAUGGACAUAGUGCUUCAGUGGAAGGUGGUAUUUCUUGAAGGAAGCACUCCAUCUUCGGUGCCAGCCCCUGCUGCAGGAAGGAAGGCAAAGCCAGACACGGGCACAGGCACAGCAGACUGGGAUGCUGGGAAGGAUUCUCCAUUAGCCUGGCGCUCUGAAGUUGUGAAGCACUCUGAGCAUUCUGCAGGCGUGUCUGCAGGGACGACCUCACCAACUCCUACCUUGGAUGCUGCACAAAAGGCCAGCUCCCAUGGCAGGGGUGAGUAGUGUGUCCCUGCUGACCCCUCAGGCUGAGCCCUGCUUUUGUGGGGUCCAUUCCUGGGAAAUGGAACUACUUUCUC